rnacentral:rRNA from 1 species
CCUACGGGUGGCAGCAGUGAGGAAUAUUGGUCAAUGGACGAGAGUCUGAACCAGCCAAGUAGCGUGAAGGAUGACUGCCCUAUGGGUUGUAAACUUCUUUUAUAUGGGAAUAAAAUGUUCCACGUGUGGGAUUUUGUAUGUACCAUGUGAAUAAGGAUCGGCUAACUCCGGGCCAGCAGCCGCGGUAAUACGGAGGAGCCGAGCGUUAUCCGGGUUUUUUGGGUUUAAAGGGAGCGUAGGUGGAUUGUUAAGUCAGUUGUGAAAGUUUGCGGAUCAACCGUCAAAUUGCAGUUGAAACUGGAAGUCUUGAGUACAGUAGAGGUGAGCGGAAUUCGUGGUGUAGCGGUGAAAUGCUUAGAGAUCACGAAGAACUCCGAUUGCGAAGGCAGUUCACUGGACUGCAACUGACACUGAGGCUCGAAAGUGUGGGUAUCAAACAGGAUUAGAUACCCGUGUAGUC